AGUGUUACAAUGUGAUCCUGAGCCUGUUUUAAACCUUCCAGGACCUCCCUCAUUCCUGGGAUACUCCAUGCUCCUCUUAGUGACUUGUGUGGUUGCUUAAUGACUGCACUGGGCAGGGGUGGGCUUCAAAAUCCAUUGCUACCAGUUUGCUCAUGGGUGCUCAUGCGCUCGCAUGUGCAGAAGCAUCCAGGUGGGUGGGCGGAGCCUCCUGCCGUCGCUGCUACUAGUUCGUCCGAUUUGGGGUGAACCGGUAGCAACCCACUACUGGCAUUGGGGUGUGAAGGGAUGGGGAUCAUCAAGUGAGAUGAUCACAUGGGUAUCUUGCUUAAUGACCAUUAUAAAUUGUAAUCAUAAGGGACAGACUCCAUUAUGAUCAUGAGUAUCUAUAUGGGAGAAAGAGAAAGCAUGUAACUCCAGCACAAAGUGGAUGCAGGACCUGAGAGCACACCAUAACAAUUAUUCAGAAUAGGAACCAGUCAUCAUCACAGUAACAGAAAUCUAACAGCAGAUCAAGAACCUGCAUAAGGCCACUAGCAGCUGGCUCAGACAUGAUCCACACUUACUAGCUGAAGAAACUGGAAGUCAAUUUGUGACAUCUCACACUAGUGGCCUUUAGGUACAGCACAUACCAAUGGAAAAGUGUGGUCAGAUGGCAAUCAAGAGAGGGAAGCUAGUGAAAACUAAUGGGUUAGAUGCAUGUAGACCAGCUAUAAGAACCCUGAUAUCCCAUAUUCAUGUGGAAACCAUAAUGAGGAGCAAGAAGACAGCAAAAUCCAAGUAUCAUACAGGAUAAAAUAGGUCAUCCAGAGUCAGCUCAAUGGGAAGAACAAGAACUAAGCCAUCAACAUGUAAAUAAUUUUUAUCCAUUGAAUUCUUCAUUAAAAUCAUCUAUUAUUACUUUAUAGGCAACUCUAGCUUCUACUACCACACAACCAAACUUUUCCAACACCAGAUUUUUAAAGGGAAGUUUGGGAUAUUUUUAUUCUAAUAGGAACACUUGGUGGUGUUUCUUUUCCAGGCUGAGUCUCAGAGUGACUAAGAGUUCAGAGUGGCUCAGAGUGAAUGAGAUGUCAUUUGACUGGAAAAGUGUGGCCAGAUGGCAAUCAAGAGAAGUAAGACAGUUAAGACCAAUGGGAUGGAUACAUACAGACCAGCUAUUAGUCCCUUGGUAUCCCACUGUCACAUGAAAACCACAAUGAGGAGCCAAGAACACAACAAAAUCCAAAUACUACCCAGGAUACAUGUCAUCUAGAACCAGCUUAAUGGAAAGAACAAGAUCCAUGCCAUCAACCUGAAUGCAUGCUCUGUCAACCAUCAGACACUCUGCCAGUAUAGUGAGCUGGCCAAAGAAGGAAUUGGAAGCUACUGCUGUGAAGACUGAGGAGCACAUGACACAGAUCUUGGAACUUGCUAACUAACAUAGUUACUUUGUAUUUUCAUUUGAGUUAUUUUCUCUCUUUUAAAAAGAUGUUCAGGUUUAUUGGCUUUUAACAUUCCUAAACUGAUAAACUGGCUGGAGACUAGCUCCAGAAAAGGAAAGGUUCAUUAGUAUGAAUUGGGGUCUGGUUUACCUCUUUGUGAACACGAAGCAACCUUUUUACUUACAAUUUACACCCCCUCUGACAUCAGACUUCAUUUUAAUGAACAUGUAUGAUAUUAUGGGAUGCAAAUAUGUAAUGUUUGACUACAUGUAACUCAUUUCCUAUGCAAAGGUGAGGUUACUUUAUCCUGCCCAAUCAACACCCGUGAAAACCUCAGAAUAUAUAUAUAUAUAUAUGUGUGUGUCGUGUCCCACUCCUCCGCUGACGGCUGGGUCAGGGAAAUCCGAAUCAGGCUUGCCUCUGCAGCUCUGCCCAAAGUCCUAGCAAAGUCCUCAGAGCAGGCAGGAGACCAGUAAGUGACUUCAGCAAGAUAAGUUCGACUUUGCCUGACUCAGAGACUGCCAGAAAGUAGAUCCUUUAUAUAGGCCAUGGGGUGUGGCUCCAUGACUCAGCACUCAUUAAGGCCUGCCCCUCCCUUCCUUCUGUUGCCUCCGCCUCUCCAAUCUUCUGAUGCGAGGGUCACUCCAAUCAGCUGUUGUUGGGAGUAAACCCUCCUCAGGCUCACCUGCUGUGGAGGAGGGGGAGGGGUCUAGCUGCUCCGUUUGCCUGGGCAUGGAGUCAGGGCUGGGGCAGGGAGAUGCUCCUUCUUCUGCAGUUUGUGUGGGCAUGGAGCCAGGACUUGGGCCGGGAGGCAUACAUUCCUCAGUGUUCGGGAGCAGGUAAGAAGGCCCCGGCUGCUCUGAGGGCGGGCAAGACACAACAAUAUGUAUAUGUAUAUGUAUAUGUAUAUGUAUAUAUAUGUUUUUGUAGGUUUUCACGCGUAUAGGUAUGUAGGUCUUGGCAUGUAGGUCUUGGCAUGUAAGGUUGAGAGUAUCUUGGUAACGUUUCAAUGAGGUCUCACUCAUCAUCUUCAGGCUGAUGCUUUCGGCUUCAUGCUUGUGCGAGCAAAGCGUGGUUGGAGCAGCUGUCUAUAAAUACUGGUGGGGAGGUGGGGAGUGUUGCUGUAAGCGGGUUGGUUGGCUGUGUGGUUGCAUCUUGAUUGGUGAUGGAGUGGGUGUUUGCAGAUUAGUCGGCUGUUUCGUGGCAUCCUGUGUGGGUGUGGUCCUAGUUGUGUGCCCAUUAGUCUUUUGUGUUGUAAAGACCUGGUUAAUGGGCUUCCUGGAAACAUCCUGAGUUCUGGGAAUGUGACCUCCUGAGUCUUGUACAGUAACAUCCUGGAUAGUAGGUUGUGUUGUAACAUCCUGAUCUUUGGUGUUGUGGCCUCUGGGCCAAACCAAACCAAAACCCGGGAUGCUGCAUCACAGCCAUCUGCUCAGGCCAUCACAGCACAGAACUCCAGAGGCCACAACACCAAAGCGCAGGACGUUACAAGACAACCUACCACCGUUAGAUGAGUGAAAAUUUAAUUUAGCAGCUGAAAUUUGCAAAAAUAGACUUAUUUUUCAAAAAAAGAAGGAGUCAUAAAAACAUUUAUACACCUCAAAAAAAAGUGGAAAUUGAAAAGAAUUUGUCAAGAACAAGUCUUGUCAGAUUAAACCAUCCUUACUGUGGGAAUCUUCUAAACAUAAUGUCUCUGGAUGUCUACAGAUAGCUUGACAAUGUAUCCUCUAACAUUCUGAAAGUAUGUCAGUUACAGGGAGCUGGAUUUAAAGAAAGCCAUGUUGAUUUUUAUGCCUUAAAACUGUUAAAUGGGUAAAAAGUUUAAUCUAGCAGCUGAAAUUUGCAAAAAAAAGGGGGGGGAGGGGGACAGCCCCAGAAUUACCGCCUUCAUCAUUUUCAGCACUAUCAUGAUGAUCUCUUGAUGCUGGCCUAUCUCUAGCCGCAUGGGCUCUGUCAGGUGCAUCACUGGGGAGACCCCUAUCAGUGAACUGUCCACCUGUUCAGGGACAAACUGGUAGAAAUCCACCCCUGAACUAGAGGAAUAACUUUGAGGCUAUUUAAGGAGACUCUUCCCACUUUUGAAACUCACCGCUUUCCUCCCAAAGGGCCAAAUUGAUGGAGCUGAACGUUCUACUGCAGAGUUACAGAAAUGAAACUGCUGUUCUUGGAAUGGCAUCCAUGGACUAGAAUUGGCAUUAAUUAAUAAUUAGUUAAUCGGACCUAGUUAACACAGUUUAGAAGAAAGCUGAGUUAAUCACACUGGAGACAUUGAGCAUUGGAAUAUGAGAGGAUUUGGAGAACAGUCUGUCCAGAUGCUUCAACCUUAAGAAGCUUUGAAUACAGGUUUCCUGCAACAAUCUCAGGGUUGACAUUCUGUUCCAUUUGCUUCUUAUGCCAGAAACCGGGCAACAACCAGCAGGAAGAGGCCUCUGGCAAACAAAGUUGCAAUUUUCCUCCUUCCUCCUGGAUUUGCCUAAUUUGCCUUCUUCUUUAACAAAAGGCAGCAAAUGCAAAUGCUCUUUUCCAACACUUAAGGAGGGAAAAUUAAACAAAAUUGGCUAAUUCUUCUGUCCCUUUAACUGAGAAGCGUCUUAGGAAAGGUUGUGGGUUACAUGGGAGCUGCCCUAUCUUCUAGAGAGCUGCUGAAAGUUUUUGACUGAUAGUGAGAGCAACACUGAAGGGACAGAUAUGGGGAGCAGCUUCUGCCUGUGGGGAUUCUAAGGGAGUGAGUGGAAGUGGGAGGCUGCAGGGAGGCUCCCAUAUCUAUCCUUAAUGCCACGCCACCAAUAGGGCAAGCUCGUGAGGUUGAAAUUUCAGCAGGGCCGUCAUAAAGUAGCAGACUGCAGACCUUUGCCCUAAAAGAAUUUGCAGGGAGUCUAGUUAAUCCCAUCUACUGUCUACUAUUGACCUCUCCCCAUUCCUAAGAGGUCUGUAAGGGGUGUGCAUAAGAGCACAAGCGUGCCUAUCGUUCCUAUCCUAUUGUUUCCUUUCAUUAUAUCCAAUUAAUAUAGUCAUUACAUACUUAUGCUUAUAUAUAUAUAUGCUUAUAUAUUGUAUAGUUAUUUCAUGCUUAUGCUUAUAUAUGCUGUGUGACAAAAUAAAUAAAUUAAAAAAAAUCUUAAGGCUUCAUUUAACAAUAGAAAACAAUAGAAAAAUUGCUAAUUUGGCUGAGAUGGCUAAAACCUCAGCCUUUUUGAAAGACACUGCACAAGAAAAAUAUCUAACUGAAUGGAAAAAAUGGAUUGAAUAUAUGCAAA